UAUUAAUUGAUUACUGCAAUAUAUUGUACAUCACUGCUUUGUGCUGUCCUAAUUUUUGUAAUAUUUUGUUUGGUUUUUUAUUUUAGGAAUCAAACAGUUAUGUUCCAGUGCCUUCAUAAUCUCAUCAGAAUUCUCCCUAUAAACUGUUUCCUCAAAAAUCUAAAAUCAGGAAGUGAGAAUUUCCUAAUUGAUAAUAUGGCAUUUACGUUGGAGAAGGAACUAGUCACCCUUAGUUCUGUUUCUUCUGCCAUAGCUAAACAUGAAAGCAAUUUUAUGCAGAGGUGUGAAGUGAGCAAAGGAAAGAGUAGUGUCGUCGUGGGUGCUUUAUCAGACAGAAGGGAAAACAUCCAUCCCUACAGAAAAGAACUUCAGAGAGAAAAGAAGAAAAUGUUGCAAACGAACCUAAAACUUGGACAGUGUCAGAAACUGAGAGGAUUCCAUUUUCUUCCUUGUCUUCUAAAUUACAAAGAUGUUACUUUCCACUCUAAGAAUUUGGGAGUGAAACAUCUUUCUUGUGUAACCCAU
rnacentral:lncRNA from 1 species